rnacentral:rRNA from 1 species
GAUGAACGCUGGCGGCGUGCCUAAUACAUGCAAGUCGAGCGAACGGACGAGAAGCUUGCUUCUCUGAUGUUAGCGGCGGACGGGUGAGUAACACGUGGAUAACCUACCUAUAAGACUGGGAUAACUUCGGGAAACCGGAGCUAAUACCGGAUAAUAUUUUGAACCGCAUGGUUCAAAAGUGAAAGACGGUCUUGCUGUCACUUAUAGAUGGAUCCGCGCUGCAUUAGCUAGUUGGUAAGGUAACGGCUUACCAAGGCAACGAUGCAUAGCCGACCUGAGAGGGUGAUCGGCCACCCUGGAGCUGAGACACGGUCCAGCCUCCUACGGGAGGCAGCAGUAGGGAAUCUUCCGCAAUGGGCGAAAGCCUGACGGAGCAACGCCGCGUGAGUGAUGAAGGUCUUCGGAUCGUAAAACUCUGUUAUUAGGGAAGAACAUAUGUGUAAGUAACUGUGCACAUCUGGACGGUACCUAAUCAGAAAGCCCCGGCUAACUACGG